rnacentral:lncRNA from 1 species
CAGGGAUACAGGCUAUUAUUAUCCCUCUUAUUUUUUUAUUUGGGAAGCACUCCUACUGCCUCAAGUGCUCUCGGGAUUGCCGGCAAGAGCCUUCCUGCCCUUAGCACACAGAAUUUCUGGGAUCCAAGGGCGUGACUGGAGAUGAGCUAUGAGCUGUGUCAUGGAUGUGCUAACAACUUUUGGCAGGAAGGAGAGGACUGGACCAGCACUUCAUCCUGGCCAGAGACAUUCCAAGGCCAAGGAAUUGCCACGCCAAGGAGCAGUUGUGAAGUGGGAGUCAGACAAAGCGGCGGAAACUGAGCCAACUAUCGCCCGGCUUUCCCAAGCAGACAUUAUUCCAUGCCACAGCAACGGAUACAAUCGGAGCCCAACUUGGCUUUGAAGGAACCCAAGCAAAUCCAGCCGUGACCACUUCAGGAGGUGAAUCAAAGCCACCAGCUGAAAACCUCUUGCUGUUGUUUCUUCUCUUAGAGAACCUGGACAAAAUGUUUUUAAUAAAACGCUCUUUCCUUC